GGAGGUGGGUCUUCCUGAAGAAGCACUUCCGGUCAGAACCGGAAACUUUGCUGCGGAACGGCCAGCGUGUGGGGCUGCUUCUUAGACCACCCAGGGCAGCUGCGGGCCGAUCUCCUUGUAUAUUGGAUUCUGGCUAUAUUAUAAUGAGUGACACUUUGACUUUAGAUGUUAUUGGUCGAAGAGUUGAAGUUAAUGGAGAACAUGCAACAGUGCGUUUUUCUGGCCUCGUCCCUCCUGUAGCAGGACUCUGGUUAGGAGUCGAAUGGGACAAUCCGGAGAGAGGAAAACAUGAUGGGAGCCAUGAGGGGACUGUGUAUUUUAAAUGCAGGCACCCAACAGGAGGAUCCUUUAUCCGUCCAAACAAGGUAAAUUUUGGAGUAAACUUUCUUACUGCAAUUAAGAAUCGCUAUGUGCUAGAAGAUGAACCAGAAGAAGAUGGAAAAGAACAGAUUGUUAAAAUUGGAAAUAAACCUGUAGAAACUAUUGGCUUUGACUCUAUUAAAAAACGGCAAAGUCAACUGAGCAAAUUGCAAGAAAUUUCUCUGAGGAACUGUGCAGUGAAUUGUGCUGGUGAAAAAGGAGCAAUUGCUGAAACAUGUCCUAAUAUUAGAAAGAUAGAUUUGUCAAAAAACCUGUUGUCAUCAUGGGAUGAAGUGAUACAUAUUGCUGAUCAGCUUAAACACCUUGAAGUUCUUAAUCUCAGUGAAAAUAAACUAAAAUUUCCCUCUGGUUCACCAUCUGUAAGUGGAACAUUUUCUACACUGAAGGUUUUAGUUCUUAACCGAACAGGAAUUACAUGGGCUGAGGUGCUCAGCUGUGCCCCUGGAUGGCCAGUCCUUGAAGAACUGUAUCUUGAGUCUAACAAUAUUUUCAUUACAGAAAGGCCAACUGAUGUUCUACAGAUGGUCAAGUUAUUAGACCUUUCCAGUAAUCAAUUAAUUGAUGAAAAUCAGCUGCUUCUAAUAGCCUAUCUACCCAGAUUAGAACAACUAAUCCUUUCUGAUAUUGGAAUUUCUUCUAUACAUUUCCCGGAUGCUGGAAUUGGGUGCAAAACAUCAAUGUUUCCUUCCUUGCAAUACCUUGUAGUAAAUGACAAUCAGAUAUCACAAUGGUCAUUUAUCAAUGAACUAGAUAAGUUACAGAGCCUGCACUCUUUGUCCUGCAUAAGAAACCCCCUGACAGAAGGGAACAAAGAAGCCCAGACUAAACGUCAAUUUAUUAUUGCCAAAAUUGGUCAGCUGAAGACACUGAAUAAAUGUGAGAUUUUACCAGAGGAAAGACGUGGAGCUGAGUUUGACUACCAAAGAGCUUUUGGAAACGAAUGGAGAAAGGCUGGAGGACAUCAGAAUCCUGACAAAAACAGACCAAAUGAAGAAUUUCUUGCAGCCCAUCCUAGAUACCAAUUACUCUGCCUUAAAUAUGGUGCACCUGAAGAUGGGGAACUCAAAACACAACAACCAUCUGUGCUCAGAAAUCAGCUACUAACACUGAAGAUAAAAUACCCCCACCAAGCUGAUAAAAAAGUCAUAGAGAAACAACUGCCAGACUCCAUGACAAUUCAAAAGGUGAAAGGAUUGCUGUCACGUCUUCUAAAAGUUCCUGUGUCAGAACUUCUGUUGUCCUAUGAAAGUACCAAAAUGCCAGGAAGAGAAAUUGAACUAGGAAAUGACCAACAGUCAUUACAGUUCUAUUCUGUGGAAAAUGGAGAUUGUCUAUUGGUGCGAUGGUAACAGCCAACUGUUACAGAGAUGAGAUUGUUUAUUGUGACUGAAGUUCCCCGGAGAUUAAGAAUUUACUGGAGCAGUUCUGUCAAAAGGUUUAGUUUCAGGUUUUAAUUGUGCUAUGAAGGAAAAUACGAAAACAGAGAAAUAAUUUAAGAGAAACACACAACAGUCUUCGUUUAAAUUUGUGAUGCCCCACUAAGAUAUAUGCUUCAGCAAGUCACACAAUGAAAACACUGAAAGAGAUGUGCUUACUUGAAAAGCUAUACUGCUGACAUGCUACUCUUAUAGACUAUUAAGUGUGGAGGGAAUAAGAUGAUGAACAAAAAUCAUGUACUUCUCCCUCUCAACUGGAAUAAAUGGUUUUUCUUCUAUUAUUCUUUGCUGAUGAUAUCCAGGCAAAUUAUUCAUCACUAUUUUCUUCCCUAAACCAAUAAGCCCAGUUAGGCUAGAUGCAGAAAAUAGAAUAUCUAUGUAAAACUAAACACAAUUUCAACAAAAACAGGAUU